GACGAACGCUGGCGGCAGGCCUAACACAUGCAAGUCGAACGAAGUGGCGAACGGGCGAGUAAUACGUGGGUAACCUGCCCUCCUUUUUGGGAUAAGCCUUGGAAACGGGGUCUACUACCGAAUAACGGGGGAUGGGCUCGCGGCUUAUCAGCUUGUUGGUGGGGUGAUGGCCUACCAAGGCGGUGACGGGUAGCGGGCCUGAGCGGGCGACCGGCCACAUUGAGACGGGGAUGCCGCCCAGAGUAGUACGGAGGGCGGCAGUGGGGGAUAUUGCAGAAUGGGCGAAAGCGUGAUGCAGCGACGCCGCAUGAGGGAUGAAGGCUUUCGGGUUGGAAACGUCUUUCGGUAUCGAACGGGUAGGUAGAGAAGAAGCACCGGCUAACUACGUGCCAGCCGCCGCGGUAAUAC
rnacentral:rRNA from 1 species